UGGAUCUUCACCACCCUCUUAGGAAAGAGGACAUCUGAAGAAAAUUAUGUUUAAUCCACGUUGCAGUUUCAUGAUUGUUAUUUUGCAGAUGGGAAAACUGAGGUAGAGAAGAGGCUGAGCUAUUUGAUCUGCUACCCAAUUAUACAGAACACAACUUGGAAUAAAUGUUUGCCAGGGUCUUGCUCACCCGCCUGUCUCCACAGGACAGGUCAAGAACACAUUUGCUGCUGUGUGAGAAUCUAUUGCAUUAAAACCCCCAGCGUAUAUGGUGGAAAUCAAGUAUUGGGAGACAGGCUACAUAUAGAUCUGCUUGUUUUACCCAACAUACACCUGCAUCUUCUGUCUGGGUCUUCAGAAGGAAGAACAUUAAAGAAGAAGAAUUAAACACAAGCCUAAUGAAAACAAAUGGGCUGGUUUGUACCAAUGAAUGUCACCAUGCAAGGAAACACAGGCUACCCCAAGCCAACACUCCCUGAGAGCUCCUCCAUCUGUGUUUUCCAUUUUACAGCCUUCCUCCAGCCCAGUAAUUCGAGCUUUUGCUCGGAAGGAGCAGCGAAAGAGGAAAAUCCUCCCAAGCUUCUCUUGUUAACAAGUGUUCCCCAGCUCAGCUCCAGCCAGGGGUUGCCCUCUCCUGGAGGACAGGAGAAAAGUCGCAUCCUACCACCUCUCAGUCCUUUUUGGGUCGUAACCCCUGUGGGGACAACCUGGCUCUCCUGGGCCAGACUGCCCUGUAAUAGAACAUUUCCUCCACCAAGACUUGGGGUAACCACACCAUCGGGUGCUGACCAAGCUGCCGGGAACAGAGGGAUGGUUGAGAUGGAGUGUGACAGCUGUCUGUCCCAGUCCUGCUGCACAACCCACCCCAGCACUGUGCCACCAUGGAGCCAGCCUGGGCUACCCAGACUCUUUCCUUCCCCUGGCUGUGUCCCCAGCUCUUUCUCUGUCCUGUUUCCAGCAGCUGCUGCCACUUGUCCUGCACGGUGCGAGGCAGGAGGUUUCCAAGGUGCCUGGAGACCUCCACAGGACAGUGAUACCGAAAUGCAAAGCAUAAAUCCUUUAUGUAUUUAAGUCUCAUAAAAAGGAAGCCCACGUUUCCUUCAGCUGCUCUCUGGAGCCCCAGAGACUUGGCCUGAUAUGAAACAGAUUUUUUUUGUAACGUUGCUAUUUGGAUAAGGGCACCAGCAGGAGAGAAGGUCCAUUUCUCUGCCUAAUGGUGCUGCAAACACCCUUUCCAAGUUGAAUUAACACCACUAAAGGGAAAGAUUAUAAGUCACUUUAAAGUGGCUCCGGGGGAAGUUUUCAACCCAAUCUAU